AACCAUUCUCACCUGCGGCUAGACCUGCGGAGGGAUCAUUACCGAGUGUGAACCCCCCCGUAAAAAAGAGGGGUUACCUCCCGUCCUUUGCUGGGAACCCCUUUCCAACUUGGAAGGAGGUUGUUUUCAGACCCUUCUGCUUCGGUGGGGUAACCCACCGGAACAACCUCAAAAAUAUUCUCAAUUCAAAACCGUUCAGUCCGAGAACUUUUUUGAAAAGCGAAAAAACUUUCAACAACG
rnacentral:misc_RNA from 1 species